UAGGGUGUAGCUCAGUGGUAGAGCACGUGUCUAGCAAGCAUGAGACCCUGGGUUCAAUCCCAGGUCCCUCC
rnacentral:tRNA from 1 species